rnacentral:rRNA from 1 species
GACAGAGGUGCCGAGCGUUAGGCGGAAUCACUGGGCUUAAAGCGUGUGUAGGCGGGCCGUUAAGUAUCUUGUGAAAUCCCCCGGCUCAACCGGGGAAUGGCUGGAUAUACUGGCGGUCUUGAGCAGUCUAGGGGCAGAUGGAACAAGUGGUGGAGCGGUGAAAUGCGUAGAUAUCACUUGGAACGCCAAUGGUGAAAACAGGUAGCUGGGGCUGUGCUGACGCUGAGACACGAAAGCCAGGGGAGCAAACGGG